UACAGAGGGUGCAAGCGUUGCUCGGAUUUACUGGGCGUAAAGCGUACGCAGACGGUGAGAAAGGUCGAUGUGAAAGCCCCGGGCUCAACCCGGGAACUGCAUCCGAAACCAUCUCGCUCGAGUGUGGGAGAGGGAAGCGGAAUUCCUGGUGUAGAGGUGAAAUUCGUAGAUAUCAGGAGGAACACCGGCGGCGAAGGCGCUUCCUGGCCCUUACUGAC
rnacentral:rRNA from 1 species